UUUUUUUUUUUUUUUCCUUUUCUUUUCUUUUUAGCCAUGCUCCUGACAUGUGGAAGUUCCCAGGCCAGGGAUCGAACCCCCACACCACAGCAAUGACCCAAACUGCAGCAGCGAUAAUGUUGGAUUCUUAACCCAAUGCACCACAAGGGAAUUCCAUACAGCCAUAGGCUUGAAGUUCUUCCCUGGGAAAUCCUUUUGCUUAAGUCACUUUGAACUGGGUUUCGGUUUCUUGCAACAAGAAGAGUUCAGACUGAAACAAGAACACGAGAGGAAAUACGAAAAAAAAAAUCAAUAGUUACUUUAAUGUAUGAUUAUACACUUACAAUCUAGAAGUGUAUAACAUAUACUUAUAUAAUAUUUAUAGGUGUGUAUAAUGUAUACUAACAUAUAUAUACAUAUAAAAGUGUAAACUGAGUUACAAAAUCAUUUUGCUUUCUACAACAAUAUUAAAGUGCGGAGCACCUUAGAGCUAUUGUCAAUUCAAGUAUUUCUUGAAUUAUAUAGGCCAGGAAACUUUUCAUCCAACUCAUGUAAGGACUUUAAAUAGCAGUUAUAUCAUUAAUUAUUGAAAUAAUUGUUGAUUGUUGAAAUAAUAUGCCAUAUUCUUUUUCUCCUCAAUCAUUAAUAUAUAUAUUAAUUAUAUAUUCCAAUCAUAAUUUACUACCAAGUCAGGUAGGUCAAUAUGUGAGAAUACAAAGAUAAACCCCAGCCUAUAUAGCUCAGUCAGUAGAGCAUUAAACUUUUAAUCUGAAGGGCCAGGGUUCAAGUUCCUGUUUGGGUGUCAAAAAUAAAUAAAUAAAAAACCCCCAGCAUUGUGAAUUUAUACCUUCAGAUCAGAAGUUAGAAACAAAAAGGAGUUUAGAGAUCAUCUUCUCCAACUCUUCAUUCUACAGAUGAGAAAAUUAUGGCCCAGAGAGGUGAAAGUACUUGCCCACGCUCAUACUGUGAAUAAGUGGCAAAAUGAAAGUUAGAAUUCAUAUAUUCUAAGAGAGGAAGAGAACCAAAGUACAAGAGAAAGGAGGCGUCACUGAUAAACCAAGGAACUUAAGCUAGGAGAAGGAAAAAAGAUCCAGACCACAAAAAGAGAAAUUAGAUUUAAGGGUGAAUAUCUUUUACAUUUAAACUAGAAGAUACAAUAAGGUACCACCUCACACCAGUCAGAACGGCCAUGAUUAAUAAUCUAUAAAUAACAAAUGCUGGAGAGGGAACGCUCCUACAAUGUUGGUGAGAAUGUAAAUUGAUACAACCCCUAUGGAAAACAUUAUGGCGGUUCCUCAGAAAACUGAAAACAGAACUACCAUAUGAUCCAGCAAUCUGACUCUUGGGUAUAUAUCCAGAAAAAAACUAUAAUUGAAAAAGAUACAUGCAUCCCUAUGUUCUUAGCAUCACAAUACCCAAGACAUGGAAACAAGUUAAUGUCCAUCAAUGUAUG
rnacentral:lncRNA from 9 species